rnacentral:miRNA from 1 species
GUGUGCCCGGCGGGCGGGUGGGCAGGGGUGGCCGGUGGGACCCCCACCCCGCACCCGCGCUCACGUGCCCAUCUCCCCACAG